rnacentral:lncRNA from 1 species
CAUAGGAAAAAAAAAAAAAAAAAAGGAGAGUUUCUUAUAAGGUGGAAUUUACAAAAGGGAAAAUACAAAGGAAAAAAGAUCUUACCCCAACCUAAGUAUCAAUUCAGAAGUUCAGAUAGUAGCGAUAAUAGAAAAAAAGGGACUCCAACAUUGGGAUUACUAUCUGAAACCUGUAGCAAGUGCUUUCUGUGGAACUAUCCUAUUACGCUAACAGAGACAGCUUGCUCCGAAUGAACAGUAGUAGGUUGGUGCAGUUCUCAUAACAAACAGCAGAACUUAAUGAUGACACAAUCCAUUAUUUCCAGCUGUGUGCAUAGCUUGCAUUUUUUAAAUAUGAAAAUGCAAGCGAAAGCAGCUCUAGCAAAGAAAGUAUGCUCAAGGACCAAAGAUUUAACAGAUAAAAAUACCCAAGUAGAAGAGAUAUAGUAGAAUAUAUAAAGAGUUAACUAUAUUUGUUACACACCAAUAAACAUCAAAGUGCCUGUUGCCUUCUGAAAAUUUGAAGUGGAAAAAUUUUAUGAUUUAAUGAUUAUUUUAUCAGGGACUCAAGAAGAAAAUAAAACAACGUAUAAGCUUGUGAAUGGUGGAAGAAAUGCCCUAUUUUUUCUUGGCAAAUACUUGUAUAAAGUUAACAUUGUUGGUGUGAUAUUAUCAUAGGUACAUGUGUAUGUGUGUGUACAUUAUGUGUAUAUAUAUACGUAUUUGAGAUAUGUAUAUAUACACACAAUACAUUGACUAAGGUCUAGAAUAAUGUAGCAAAUAGAAAAUGUUUAAAUACUGUGUGCUUUUAUGUUUUCAACAGGAUGACAUGAGACGUGGGCAUAUUGCAGUGAUGAGUUAAAACCCACAUCUAAAAAAUUAAAACCAAUGAAGGAGGAAAACAAGUAAUAUAUUUGUUAGGAAGAGCAGAGAUUAUACAUUUUUAGUGAUUUUUUUUUUUUUUUUUUUUUUUUUUUUUGUGAGCCAUAGAAUUCUACAAAUGGGAGAAUAUUUGUUUGGCAGAGCACUCUUUUUGUACUGAACUGCCAUUUUGACAGUAGGAACCCUUUUAUUUUGUGUUAUAUUUGCAUGCCUCCAUGGUGUACAAUCCAGUGGAUCAUGGAUCAGCGAUAGUUCAUUUAAAUCCCUAACUGCUAAUAAAAUUUCUGGUGAUCUGAACACUACUUAUUAAUAUUUAAAUGAAUUUUUUAAUGAAUGCAUUCUGCAUUCCAGGACCACUAGAAUUUAGUAAAUGUGAAAUGACCCUUUUUAAAGAGUAUUUGCACAAUUGCUUAAAAUUUAUAUAUGAGAUAUAUAUUAUAUAUAAAAUUUUAUAAAUUCACGUCGAUAUGAAACACCUUUGAUCUGAUUGUCACACUGCAUUUAAAUAUUUAGUACUGUACUUUAAAUUCAGUCACUUUGCAUUGGAUCAGAUCCAACUUUAUCAUCUCUUUACCAAGAGACCAGUUAAACCUUUGUGAAAUGAACUGGCAUUAUCAUUUCAGUUCAGUGACAGCUAAUCCUAAAACCAUUCCUUCUCCCAGCUUUUUAUUCCUUUGGACACUGGUCUCUGAAAAUGCAUUUGUUAAAAACAAAACUAACACAUGCAAACCUUUCCUUUGUAUUGUGAAACAGCCACAUAAUUCCUACCAGCUCUAGUGGAUGACUGCUUACUGUGACAGUUCCUCUGAAGAACCUACCAGAUUUCUGUCAUCAAGUUCAAGAGGGAUUGGGGAAGAAAAUAGCAUCAUCCUAUUGGCAGUGUCAUUUGUUUGCUAUUGGGGCAUCACUCAGAUGCUCAGUUGUAGGCUAAUCCAUCUGAAACUACCUUUUGCACACCUUUCUUUGAAGCCUUAACAGGAACUUGAUGGGUUUGCUGUAGCAGCUUCCCUGUGAAUUCUCUCUGAGCUGUCACAGCUACUGCACUGCCACUCACUGUUUCCUAGGGAACUCUUUCUUCUCCCACGUUGGCUCAUUCUCCCUCACUCCAGCCCUGGGUUUGAAAAUGAAUUGUGAAUUUCCAGGCAAUAUUAUUCCAUUUUCAGAUUAAGCCUGAUACUUAACUGUCCAGAAGCCAGAGCUCUGCCUGCUUGCUUACCUGUUUGGAGUUUUCUAAGAGAAAACUAAGGGAACACUUGGGAACAUAGACGCAGACAGUGAUCUGCCUUCUUCCUUCUCAUCCUAACUAUUGACAAGUGAGUUGUCCAUUAUAUUACAAAGAAUUUGGAGAACGCUGGCUCUGCCACAGCAAAAAUCUGCUGUUAAUUGAUAACACGAAUUUUUGUUUGGAGGAGCCUUAUUUGAAAAUAUACUCUUCACUUAUUUUCUGAAAUGUUUAUGUUCUUUUCUUAUUCCAACUUUGGUCGCAUAGUUGGAAUCGCCAACACCUGGCAUUCAGAUAGAACAGGCUAUGCUCAAGACAACCUUCAGCCGUUGCUUUAAAACUUCUAUAAUUUAUUUCUUUUUUGUAUGUACUAUAGUCUUGUGCAUAUGUAGUUGAACAGACAGUGGAAUAUGUGUCUCUCUUUGUGGAUGUGUAACCUAAAAGUCUGAAUGUCUGGAGAGAGAGAGCCGUGUGUAUAGGUCAGAGAAAAAGAACAGCUCUCAACUCCUGAUCGGUGCCUGUGAUUUGCUUGCUUUUGUGCUUAUCUGGCCUAGUGUGCUGUUAACUUUAAAACAGGAAGAAGUUUUAUCUUCUGGAGGCUCUUCUCACCUGUCCAGUUUGGCAUGUCAGAGAACAUUUGACCUGUGACCGUGCCCUUCUAAAAAGUUGAUUUUCAGUAAAUCCGAUUGUCUCAAGAAGUCCUACAGUGAGAUGGACUUUUCCCUUCCUGAAGUAUCUGCUCACUUUAGUAGUGGGUGGACUAUUUUAACGGGGCUCCAAACAAUGCAAGGAUGGAAGAAUAUUUGUAAGCCAAGCCAUGGAAGAAACACAAAGAAAAGUGAACACCGUUUCUGCCACCCCUUUCUGUUAGCUUAUCGUCGGCUGCUUUACUGUGCAUAAAGUUGUUUUCAAUGCAGUGCUUGUCAAAUAAAUAUCGUGAACUAUUUUGUGAAUGAAAUGUAUUAUGUUGAAAGCUGUCAGCAGUUCAAAAAUAAGCUUUCUUUUUUGUUUGAAGACAAAGUGUAUUAGAUGAAACUGAAAAGUAAAAAAAAAAAA